GUGCUCGCUUUGGCAGCAUGUAUACUAAAAUUGGAAUGAUACAGAGCUUAGCAUGGCCCCUGCGUAAGGGUGACACGCAAAUUCGUGAAGUGUUCCGUCAUGCU
ensembl:snRNA U6 U6 spliceosomal RNA